rnacentral:rRNA from 1 species
CCUACGGGAGGCAGCAGUGAGGAAUAUUGGUCAAUGGACGCAAGUCUGAACCAGCCAUGCCGCGUGCAGGAAGACGGCUCUAUGAGUUGUAAACUGCUUUUGUACGAGGGUAAACGCAGAUACGCGUAUCUGUCUGAAAGUAUCGUACGAAUAAGGAUCGGCUAACUCCGUGCCCGCAGCCGCGGUAAUACGGAGGAUUCAAGCGUUAUCCGGAUUUAUUGGGUUUAAAGGGUGGGUAGGCGGUCGGAUAAGUUAGAGGUGAAAUCCCGAGGCUCAACUUCGGAAUUGCCUCUGAUACUGUUCGGCUAGAGAGUAGGUGCGGUAGGCGGAAUGUAUGGUGUAGCGGUGAAAUGCUUAGAGAUCAGACAGAACACCGAUUGCGAAGGCAGCUUACCAAGCUACAUCUGACGUUGAGGCACGAAAGCGUGGGGAGCAAACAGGAUUAGAUACCCGUGUAGUC